UUGAAGGCCUGGAGACUGAAGUCCUCUCUAUCCACAGAACAGGUACGGCACAGGCAGCGGCAGUGUAAGCUUUUCCACUGUCCCAUUAUUGUGCCUCAGCCCUGGCCUGGAGGGACCAUGAUUAGGGGGAAGAGGGUUGUUCAGUCUCCACGCCCUUCAAUCCUUGGCUGUU
rfam:Sarcophilus harrisii ctg7180001379782, whole genome shotgun sequence.